CACCGCCCGUCACACCAUGGGAGUUGGUUCUACCCGAAGACGGUCCGCUAACCGCAAGGAGGCAGCCGGCCACGGUAGGGUCAGCGACUGGGGUGAAGUCGUAACAAGGUAGCCGUAGGGGAACCUGCGGCUG
rfam:Rhodospirillum photometricum DSM 122 draft genome sequence